UCGUCUUGUCAUUCCUGCGGCCUAGGCCCCACCUUUCCCUCUUCUUUCCUCCUGGGCCCUGCCCCUCCUCUCAUUCUGCCACCAGGGCCCGCCCUACAGUCCAAAAGGAACCGCGGCGGACUUGAGACUGGGUUUUGGGUCUGUCUCGGGACCUUGGUUUGCUAUGGUCGCCUGUACCACAGCGAUCAGGGCCCAGCAGCUGCUGCUGGUACUGAGUGCUCUGGGACUCUUGGCCGCAGGUGCUCCGCAGCCCCCCAACAUCGUGCUACUGCUCAUGGACGAUAUGGGGUGGGGUGACCUGGGUGUGAAUGGAGAACCUUCCAGAGAGACCCCAAAUUUAGACCGGAUGGCUGCAGAAGGGAUGCUUUUCCCAAGCUUCUAUUCUGCCAACCCUUUGUGCUCACCAUCUAGAGCAGCCCUACUCACGGGACGGCUGCCCAUCCGCAAUGGCUUCUACACAACCAAUGCGCACGCAAGGAACGCUUACACGCCUCAGGAGAUCAUGGGCGGGAUCCCUGACUCAGAACACCUCCUGCCGGAGCUCCUGAGGAAGGCAGGCUACACGAGCAAGAUCGUGGGCAAGUGGCACCUGGGUCAUAGGCCCCAGUUCCACCCCCUGAAGCAUGGAUUUGAUGAGUGGUUUGGAUCCCCCAACUGUCACUUUGGACCAUACGACAACAAGGUCAAGCCCAACAUCCCUGUGUACAGGGACUGGGAGAUGGUCGGCAGAUUUUAUGAAGAGUUCCCAAUUAACCUGAAGACGGGGGAAGCCAACCUCACCCAGCUCUACUUGCAAGAAGCUCUGGACUUCAUCCAGACACAACAUGCGAGGCAGAGCCCCUUCUUCCUCUACUGGGCUAUCGAUGCCACGCAUGCGCCAGUCUACGCUUCAAGAGAGUUCUUGGGUACCAGCCUUCGAGGGCGGUAUGGCGAUGCCAUUCGGGAAAUAGAUGACGGUGUUGGGAAGAUCCUGAGCCUUCUGCAGAACUUGGGCAUCAGUAAGGACACCUUCGUCUUCUUCACGUCUGAUAACGGUGCAGCCCUCAUUUCUGCUCCCAAACAAGGUGGCAGCAACGGUCCCUUCCUGUGUGGGAAGCAGACUACAUUUGAAGGCGGGAUGAGGGAGCCCGCCAUCGCCUGGUGGCCAGGGCACAUUGCUGCAGGCCAGGUCAGCCACCAGUUGGGAAGCAUCAUGGACCUCUUCACCACCAGCCUGUCCCUUGCAGGCCUGAAGCCCCCCAGUGACAGGGUGAUUGACGGACUUGACCUCCUCCCCACCAUGCUCCAGGGCCAGAUGAUGGACAGGCCCAUAUUUUAUUACCGUGGCAACACCCUGAUGGCAGUCACUCUUGGCCAGUACAAAGCGCACUUCUGGACUUGGACCAACUCCUGGGAGGAAUUCAGACAGGGCAUUGACUUCUGCCCCGGGCAGAAUGUUUCAGGAGUCACAACCCACACACAGGAAGAACACACGGAGCUACCCCUGAUCUUCCACCUGGGACGUGACCCAGGAGAGAGAUUCCCACUCAGCUUCGACAGUGAUGAAUACCAGGACGCCCACAGCAGGGCCACCCAGGUUGUCCAGCAGCACCAAAAGUCCUUGGUCCCCGGACAGCCCCAGCUCAAUGUGUGUAACCAGGCGGUCAUGAAUUGGGCACCCCCAGGCUGUGAAAAACUAGGGAAGUGUCUGACACCUCCUGAGUCUGUCCCUGAGAAGUGUUUCUGGGCCCAUUAGCCAAGACCAGAAUCUCCAGCCAGCCCUGCAAGUGCCUGGAAGGCCUUAGCUUCGGGACUGCUGGAUGGAAGAGACCAGCUGCCCUCUACCCACCCAUCCCCAGGUGGACAAUCCUGCAACCAGUCGCAAGGCUCCAAGACUGCCCCGUCUGGAGCCCUGACCCUGCAGUCCACUCUCUAGCACUGCAACCCAUCUUGCCAACUGGACGCUGAAAAAGAUGUGGCUCUCCUACCCCAGGUGGCCCUAAUCACCAUACGAGCGCCAGCCCAGGGUCUGAAGCACUGUCACUGUCCCUGCAUGCAUUUCAACCCUAGUGCUGUAGACAGAAGUGAAGAUUUCAGCACAAUGCCGAGGAGCCGCUGUCUAUCUGGACACCACUCUUCACCCCCUGAGCCACCCUGACUCUUUUUCUACUGGCUACAAACAAAAGACAAAGAUAGCACAUUUUCCAGUCAAGUGCCUUCAGAGACCACCUCAGAUGGAAGAAUUGCAGCUCACAGCUCACAGGCUCACAGGGAGGGUCCAGGAAGGAAUGGUUGGAAUCCAUUGGACCCUCCCAUACACUCUCCCUUAACCAGCACCGAAGAUGAUAAUGGCCAUUAUACUCAGAGGACAGUCUUCCACACCACUGCCUGUAGACCCAGGUACUAUGCCGGGAAGGUAGACCCCAGUUCUGUCUGUCUCUGGCUCUCCGGAUCUUCUGGACCCCACCCCAAAACGAGGAAGGCCCACCCUGUCGCAAUGCACAGGAGGGUCUGUGGCCUCAGAGCAAGCAUUCCUUACGCCGCCAUGUUACCCUGCUUUUCCCCUCCACUCUAACCCAUGCACAAUGCACUCCUACCUCUGGACCCCAGACUGUCCACCAGCUCCCUUCCGGGCUAAUUCCAGGAACGCAGGGCCUGAAUCUCAGGCCCCUUGCACUGCUCACCGGAGCACAGUACCCGGAGUAAAGGAAGGGGACCUGGACAAGCACCGUCCCUGCUCUCCCCACGUCCAGAAGGCUAGCCCCGGGAAAAGGAGAAAUGGAAAAGCGUGCGGGAAGCAAAACCAAAAAAGGGUGACAAGGCGCGCACCCCUUCUCCACCCACACAGCUUUGAGAGGCCACGCCUCCCACUGGCGGCCCCGCCCAUCGAGGACGCCCCGCCCUUGUUUCCCGGAUUGACGUGAGCCUGGCCCG